UACGUAGGGGGCGAGCGUUGUCCGGAAUCAUUGGGCGUAAAGCGCGUGUAGGCGGCCCGGUAAGUCCGCUGUGAAAGUCCAGGGCUCAACCCUGGGAUGCCGGUGGAUACUGUCGGGCUCGAGUCCGGAAGAGGCGAGUGGAAUUCCUGGUGUAGCGGUGAAAUGCGCAGAUAUCAGGAGGAACACCAAUGGCGAAGGCGGCCCCCUGGUUGGAUACUGACGCUGAGACGCGAAAGCGUGGGGAGCAAACAGG
rnacentral:rRNA from 1 species